GAUGAACGCUGGCGGCGUGCCUAACACAUGCAAGUCGAACGGAGUUUUAAGACGGAAGUUUUCGGAUGGAAGAUUUAAAGCUUAGUGGCGGACGGGUGAGUAACGCGUGGGUAACCUGCCUCAUACAGGGGAAUAACAGUUAGAAAUGACUGCUAAAACCGCAUAACAUGGCGAUACCGCAUGAUAUUGCCAUCAAAUAUUUAUAGGUAUGAGAUGGGCCCGCGUCUGAUUAGCCAGUUGGCAGGGUAAUGGCCUACCAAAGCGACGAUCAGUAGCCGGCUUGAGAGAGUGACCGGCCACAUUGGGACUGAGACACGGCCCAA
rnacentral:rRNA from 1 species